AGUCAGUGAUGACUUGUAAAAGGUCUGAUUGCAUUGUGCUUCCCCAACACACCACAUCGUCUCCCAGCAGUCCAUAUUUUCCCUCCCAUCCUGGUCUAGCUAUGCAGUGAUGGCCAAUAGGAUUGCUGAAAUUUAAGGAUAACCCACAAUACCAAGUCUUUCUUAGAAUCCAGAGCUAUGGUAGGAUUGGGUAUCCAACACCUACAGUGUAAAGGAGAAUAAGGUGUACGGUUUGAAGCUAUAUUCUUUGCAUGAUAUCUAGUUUUCAAUCUGAGACU
ensembl:scaRNA